rnacentral:rRNA from 1 species
GCCAGACUCCUACGGGAGGCAGCAGUCGGGAAUAUUGCGCAAUGGAGGAAACUCUGACGCAGUGACGCCGCGUGCAGGAAGAAGGUUUUCGGAUUGUAAACUGCUUUAGACAGGGAAGAAAAAAGACAGUACCUGUAGAAUAAGCUCCGGCUAACUACGUGCCAGCAGCCGCGGUAAUACGUAGGGAGCGAGCGUUAUCCGGAUUCAUUGGGCGUAAAGCGCGCGUAGGCGGCUGCCUAAGCGGAACCUCUAAUCCCGGGGCUCAACCUCGGGCCGGGUUCCGAACUGGGCGGCUCGAGUGCGGUAGAGGCAGGCGGAAUUCCCGGUGUAGCGGUGGAAUGCGCAGAUAUCGGGAAGAACACCGAUGGCGAAGGCAGCCUGCUGGGCCGUCACUGACGCUGAGGCGCGAAAGCUGGGGGAGCGAACAGGAUUAGAUACCCCGGUACU